rnacentral:rRNA from 1 species
CCUACGGGUGGCUGCAGUGGGGAAUAUUGGACAAUGGGCGAAAGCCUGAUCCAGCCAUGCCGCGUGAGUGAUGAAGGCUCUAGGGUUGUAAAGCUCUUUCGCCGAUGAAGAUAAUGACGGUAGUCGGAGAAGAAGCCCCGGCUAACUUCGUGCCAGCAGCCGCGGUAAUACGAAGGGGGCUAGCGUUGUUCGGAAUUACUGGGCGUAAAGCGCACGUAGGCUGUGUCGCAAGUCAGGGGUGAAAUCCCAGAGCUUAACUCUGGAACUGCCUUUGA